UACGUAGGGUGCAAGCGUUGUCCGGAAUUAUUGGGCGUAAAGAGCUCGUAGGCGGUCUGUCGCGUCGAUCGUGAAAACUUGGGGCUUAACCCUGAGCUUGCGGUCGAUACGGGCAUGACUGGAGUUCGGCAGGGGAGACUGGAAUUCCUGGUGUAGCGGUGAAAUGCGCAGAUAUCAGGAGGAACACCGAUGGCGAAGGCAGGUCUCUGGGCAUUAACUGACGCUGAGGAGCGAAAGCAUGGGGAGCGAACAGG
rnacentral:rRNA from 1 species